rnacentral:rRNA from 1 species
AUGGAUGAUGCCUUCAAGUUCAUCAUUUCAAACGGUGGCCUUACUGGUGAGUCUAGCUACCCAUAUACGGCAGAAGAUGGCAAGUGCAAGAGUGGAUCCAAAGGUGCUGCCACCAUCAAGAGCUAUGAGGAUGUGCCAGCCAACAAUGAAGGUGCCCUCAUGGCGGCUGUCGUGAACCAACCUAUUUCAGUGGCUGUGGAUGGUGGUGACAUGACGUUCCAAUUUUACCAAGGUGGAGUGAUGACUGGUUCUUGCGGCACUGACCUAGACCAUGGCAUUGCAGCUAUUGGUUAUGGAAUGACGAGUGAUGGCACAAAAUAUUGGUUAUUGAAGAAUUUAUGGGGUACAACAUGGGGCGAGAACGGGUACUUAAGAAUGGAGAAGGACAUUUCUGACAAGAGAGGCAUGUGUGGUCUUACCAUGGAGCCUUCCUACCCUACUGCAUAG